rnacentral:lncRNA from 1 species
GAUGACAUGUACAUUAUAAAAUAUAAUUAUAUAGAUACUAAUCAUAUUAUAAUUUGACGAGGGAUCAAAUUAUAAUGAUUAAAUGUGUUGUUGAGUUACCAAUAACAAUAUAAGUGAUUAUGGUUUCAUUUAUACAAAGUAAGCUACUUUCUCUCUACAUGAAUAGGACAUGUGUGAUUAGGAUUGAUGAUUGUUUAUCAGAAUCAAAACUGAUUGAUUGAAUUCUUAUAUUUGAAAUUAAAUUCCAACAUUUGACACCAUGGUUGACAAGGGUGGAAGGCGAUUUCCAUGCCACUCAGCCCUUCCAGCUCCGGCACAAAAGGGUCAUUCGUUCGUUUCCCCAGUGGCCACCACCAGAAACCUCCCACGGUACUCCUCCGCCAGCUCCACCGUUCUUCCGAAGUUGGCAGUACUGUUUCCUGAGGUGGAGGUGGAGGCGGUGUAGGAAUAUUUCUUCCACAGGUAAGCAUGCUGUGGCGGAGAGGCCUAAUGGGCCUGCUCCCACGAUUAUCACUCUCUGCUUAAUUCCCUCCUGCUGCAUUCUUCUUUCUCCUUCAAUGCUUUUCUGGAUCCAUGUUUUGUUGUUAGGAAAGGGAAGAUGAAGAGAAGAGGAUGUUUUUGGUAUUGGUUAAUCAACUAAAAAAAAUAUUUAUUGUUUAAAUUAUAGAAAAGUAUAAAAAAAUAAUAUAAAAUUUUAUCUUCUAAUAAUAAUUUUUACUUUAAAUUUUUUAAUCAAUAUCUUCACAACAAUAAUUAUCAUUUUUCUUAUUAUAUACUAUCUAUCAUGGUAAUGAAAUAAUAAGGGAAGGUGGUGUAUACUUCUAGCUCACGGGUACCAAGAAAAAUAAAAUAUAUCUAAAACAAAAAUUCAUUCAUAAUUGAUAUUUUUAUGAAUAAAAAAUAUAUAAUUAUAUAAGUUUAAAUCUUAUAUAUUCACAACACAAAAUAAUCAUCGAAUUAAAUUAUUUUAAAAGAUGACAAAUUUAUCAUGGUAAAUUAUAAUUGAGUAGUUAUGUCAGUGUAUAAUUGUUUUUUUCUUUGAAUAUAUUACAUGUAAAAAUAAUAUAUAAGAAAAAAUAAUUAGAAAUUUCAUUUAAAUAUAAUUAGUAGUAUCAAAAUUUUUAAUAUUAUCUCCUACUUAUAAAUUAUUAUGUAUGAUAAAAUUAUUAAUUUUUAUAAUAUUUAUUUAAAACUUAAUUAUAAUAAUUUCUAAUUUGUUUACAACGCAAACAUCUGUACACUAAUUUCAUCCUAUAUACUCCUUUCCUUUGCUUAUAAUUAUUAUCCUUGUUUUAUAAAAAUAAUUGUUAUCCUAAAAUAAGAAUAUGAGUUCAUAAAGGUAUAUGUUACUAUUGAAACAGCCUUUUUUGUGUGUUGAUACUUUUCAAAACUUCUCAAACAAUGUGUGUUAAUUUGUGUGUGCGCCCGGGAGGUACGUAAUAGGAUAUCAUGAAUACUAUAGUACUCAUAUUCUCAUUCAUUCUUAUUAAAUUUUACAAGUAAAUCUUCAGCCUCAAAUUCUUUCAAAUUGAAUGAGUAUUUGCAGUAUCGAUAUGAGUAAAUCUUCAGCCUCAAAGUGUAAGUUUCUACAAUAGUAAAAAAUUUAUUAUUGAAACAAAAUUAUAUAUGAAUUUCUUACCAUAAUAAUAUCACAUUACGAGAAUCACAACAAGUAAUUUAAAACAACAUACCUAAUUCAUAUCCCCAAAAGAAGAAAGUGUCAUGUACAUACUGUUUCUGCAACCAAUAAUAGAUAAUAGAUCAUUACAUGACACAAAUUCCUUCUCUUUCUUCUUGAGGAAUUAACGAGGCAAUAUCAUUUGCUACUAAUUGGGCAUCCAUGUUAGCUCCAAAGAAACCCCUUCUUGACAGCCCAACACAAUACAAACCAUUUCGACCUUUCCAAUGAUUUGGGAAACUGUUUUUUGGAAAGCCAUCCUCAUUUAGAAGAUCAUCACCCCCCUGUACAGAACAAAUUAAUAUUAUCAUGUCUUUCUAAACUUUCUUGCAUGAUAGUUGUCCACAAGUAUGAACAUAGGUUAAUUUAGAUGGAAUAUAAUGGUGUAUUCAUUAAAGGGUACGUACGUAGCCAAUAUUGUCACAUAUAGCAUAUCAAUAUGAUACAUACCUUAAGCCACUUUUGAGUUGAUCUCUUGAAGCCUGUACAGAAAACAAUUGAGUCGAAUGUGUACGAUUUGCCAUCCUGGAACAAAACUUCAUUACCUCUUAUACUCUUUAUUUCAGCUGGCAACACCUACAUAACAUAUAAUAGAAUUAAUCAACCUCAGCUCAUACGUCUCUUCAGUUGAAAUUUUAUUUUUCUUAACCUCUUUAAUUUUAAACCAAUCAGUUGAAAUUUUAUUUUUUUUAACCUUUUUAAUUUUAAACCAAACGGGCCAGAUAGACACAGCAAAGGGUGUCGCUAGAUGCACCCAACACUUAAGGUAAAAUGAUGAAAAUAUCCUUGAUUCGUAAGUCAUUUAAGUUGAUCCAUAAAAGUUUUAUGGAUCAACUUAAUAUGUAAACUUUUUAUGGAUCAACUUGAUCCGUAGAAACCUUACAAAUCAACUUGAUCCGUAAGCUUUUUACGGAUCAAGUUGAUCAGCAAAACUUUUAUGGAUCAAGUUGAUCCUUAUUAUUCCGUAAAAGGCUUACGAAUCAAGUUGAUCUGUAUCAACCUUACGGAUCAACUUAAUCCGUACGAUUUAUGGACCACCCUCACACACACCCAUCACAAAUACAAAAAAAUAUAAAGAUAAUUUUAGUAUUUUAAAAAAAUAUUGGAUACACCAGCAAUGCUGAAUGCACCUAGCAACACCACCAGAGCAAAAGAGGAAGUAACAUUUAUGAAGCCCGUUGCUCCAUUUUGACCGUAUUUCAUUCUAUUGUAUUGUGUACCAUAAAAUGGGAUGACAAUUCUAUUCUAUUUUAUCAUAUAUAAUGAUAUAAAUAAAUAAUACAUUUGCAUAAACAAAGUAUAAUUUAUUUAUUUAUUAUUAUUUUAUUCAGAAUUAUAUAUCUCAAAAGUGAAACUAUAUAAAAGCUUUUACACUAAAAACAUAUGUAUUUAUUUUUUUGACUUAAAUGUCGUUUUGGUCCUUUCCUUCGUUCUUUUACAUGUGUUUUCGUUUAGGCUAAAUCAAUUGUUCACACCAUCAAACUCCAGAAAUUAGGUGGUAUACCUGUAUCUCUCGAGAUUUAAUUUUCUUGACAGUUCCUACAUCGAUGAUUGGGAACUUGGCAUACUUCAUCUUCAUGGUGAAAGGCCCCUCACUCGGAUACGGUAUCCCAUACUCACUCAGAUCUCCAUACACAACCUUGCUAACCAUCACCAACACCUUCUCCACCGUACUCAGCGACAAGUAAUUCAGCAUAAGCGACGCAUAAUACAUCAUAUCCCUCGAAAGAAAAUGAACCUACAUGCACACAUAACCAUCAUAAUAAUCUUAUCAAGCUUAAAAAUCUAACAACGAAUACGCCAACAAAUUAAUUAAAGUAUAAGAACCUUGGUUGUGUUUGGGUGAGGAAAAAUGAGAGAAACCAAAAAGAAAUUAUAUGGAUAUCAUGUUAAAUCAUACUUUAAUUAAAAAAAAAUUGUUUAUUUUCUUUAAACCAAACACAACAACAUUAGAGAUUAAAACAUAUUUUAAUCUAGAAAAAGAAAUUGAAAGUACCCACCGGGCUGCGAACAAUGAUGGAAGGUUUGGCACCAAAAUUGGACAAGUCUAGCGCAAUCUCCAUGCCGGAAUUGCCAGAUCCGACAACCAGAACAUGUUUAUUCUUAAACUCGUUCCCGUUUUUGUAGGCAGUUGAGUGAAUCACUUUUCCAUUGAAACUCUCCAAGCCUUGAAUCUGAGGCAGACGAGGCUCGGCGGUUUCGCCACUGGCCACGACCAGGUACUUUCCAGCGUAUUCCUCAAGCUCACCAGAUCUUCUAUUCUGAGCCUUCACUCU